CACGUAGGGGGCGAGCGUUGUCCGGAAUCAUUGGGCGUAAAGAGCUCGUAGGCGGCUCAGUAAGUCGGGUGUGAAACCCCCAGGCUCAACCUGGGGACGCCACCCGAUACUGCUGUGGCUAGAGUCCAGUAGGGGAGUGUGGAAUUCCCGGUGUGAGCGGUGAAAUGCGCAGAUAUCGGGAGGAACACCAGCGGCGAAGGCGGCACUCUGGGCUGACACUGACGCUGAGGAGCGAAAGCAUGGGUAGCAAACAGG
rnacentral:rRNA from 1 species